rnacentral:rRNA from 1 species
CCUACGGGUGGCAGCAGUGAGGAAUAUUGGUCAAUGGGCGGAAUCCUGAACCAGCCAUGCCGCGUGCAGGACGACGGCCCUACGAGUUGUAAACUGCUUUUGUACCGGGGUAAAAUGCCUUACGUGUUGGGUUUUGAAUGUACGGUACGAAUAAGGAUCGGCUAACUCCGUGCCAGCAGCCGCGGCACUAAGGAGGAUCCGAGCGUUAUCCGGAUUCAUUUGGUUUAAAGGGUGCGGAGGUUGGUCUAUAAGUUAGCGGUGAAAUACAGAGGCUCAACAUCGUGGCUGCCGCUAACACUGUCGGACUAGAGAGCAGAUGCGGCAGGCGGAAUGUGUGGUGUAGCGGUGAAAUGCAUAGAUAUUACACAGAACACCGAUUGCGAAGGCAGCUUGCUAGGCCGGAUCUGACACUGAGGCACGAAAGCGUGGGGAUCGAACAGGAUUAGAUACCCCAGUAGUC